rnacentral:rRNA from 1 species
AAAAGCUUUCUUUAAUUGAAUAAUUGAAUUUAAUUUUUNAGUGCAAAAGCAAAAAUAAAAAUUAGGGACAAGAAGACCCUAUGAAUUUUUUAUUAAAUUUUAUAAAACUUUAUAUAAAAUUUAAUUUAAUUGGGGUGAUGGAAAAAGAAUAAAUAUCUUUUUUUUAAAAAAAAAUUGGUUCCGUUUUUAGCGAUUAAAUGAAAAAAAUACUCUAGGGAUAACAGCGUAAUAAUUUUGGAUAGUUCAUAUANAUAAAAUAGUUUGCGACCUCGAUGUUGGAUUAGGAUUCUUUUUUGGUGAANAAGUUAAAAAAA